GAGUAAUGCAUCGGAACGUGCCAUUGAGUGGGGGAUAACGUAGCGAAAGUUACGCUAAUACCGCAUAUUCUGUGAGCAGGAAGCAGGGGACCGCAAGGCCUUGCGCUCUUUGAGCGGCCGAUGUCAGAUUAGCUAGUUGGUGAGGUAAAGGCUUACCAAGGCGACGAUCUGUAGCGGGGUCUGAGAGGAUGAUCCGCCACACUGGAACUGAGACACGGUCCAGACUCCUACGGGAGGCAGCAGUGGGGAAUUUUGGACAAUGGGCGCAAGCCUGAUCCAGCCAUGCCGCGUGAGUGAAGAAGGCCUUCGGGUUGUAAAGCUCUUUCGGCCGGGAAGAAAUCGCAUGGGUUAAUACCCUGUGUGGAUGACGGUACCGGAAUAAGAAGCACCGGCUAACUACGUG
rnacentral:rRNA from 1 species